CGGCCCCCAGGCAGCUCGCGCUCCUCCGCCAGCCAGGCACAGCCCCGGCCCUUCAGCAGCCGACGGCGGCGUGUCACUCCCGCGUACUGAAAAAGCAACUGAUCGACCGCACUUUCAUCCUAAGGCCCAGUAGGCGGAAUAUUCAGUGUCAGCGGAGAGAGACUGGAGAGACGGGCCGGAGAGGCGCGUAACUGGCGCUGUUUCAUCGGCGGCUGGAAGGUAUCGACAGGCGCCACUCGAGGUCGGCAGCUGGAAGCGAGUGUCCAGAGGGAGGGGGAGAGGGGGAG